GAUAGGCCGUGCUAAGGAGAAAAGGCUCCUAACGUGCAAGUGUCCAGCCGAUGCUGCCUGAGACUGUCGCGAGGAGCGGAGCACAGUAAUAAUCCCCCUUGGCCCCUAUAGCGCGUUCUCGGUCCGGAACAGAGCAAUGGCAAACUCCGCCGAGGAAUCCCCCUGCCUCUUCUCCAGCGUCACGGGACAGGCCAGUGGGGGCGAGCGGCGGAAAUGGAACUAUGCCAUGCCUGGCUUGGAGCUGGGAGCUGGCCCCUUGGCUGGCUCUGAAGGACCCAACCGCCUGAGGCUUUUUAAGAAGAAAAAACUGAUUUCCGUUGCCUGCUGAUGGCGGCGACAGCCCUGUGUGGGGCAGGGGGGGAUUAAAACCAUCCCGUAAUCCUGGCCAUUUCCAUCGGGAUUAUGAAACCAAUCACGAAUAUCAAAAGCUGUGGCUUAAGCCAGCUGCCUGAGAGCGGCUGCCCUGCCGAGACUGCAGCUGGGAAGACAGGCAGGACCUGGGCUGCCUUCCAUUUCACGCACAGUCCCCCCACCCCACCUCCCCCAUUCAUCCCGAGCACCGUCAGGAAGGCGGGAACUGGUCUGGACUGGGACAGCGGCCGGAGCUGUCAGGUCCGGCUGUGAUCCCAGCGCUGCCUCCUCUCCCCAGCCAGGAUCGGGCGGUGACUUCCCCCGACGCGCUCUCAGCUGCCCCCUCGCGUUCGGGGUGUGCCUCUCCGGAGGGCAGUUCUGGGCCCUGCCCGCGGCUGUGGUGGAUUGACGGCGCCACUAGGAACUGACGACAGCCUGGGUAGGAGGGGCGCGCUUUUCCCGGCUCCCUGGCCACGAUCCCCCUCAGCUGCACAGGCCAGAGAAAUGACUAACGGCGGGCCGGAGGGAGCGGACUAGCCCUACCCUGCAGCCGGGGCCUGCGGGAUCCAGCCUCUGCGAGAGCGAGCGCAGCCGGCACUGCUGGCAGCCAGCUGGCCGACGCUCCUGUCCCGGGGCAUAACCUGGCACCUGGAUGGAGGCUGGGAGGAGAGAGCCCCCAGCUCUGCGUUGGGGGGAAGCGCCGGAGUCCCAGGCAGAAGCAGCGGACGGCUCGGGAAGGCUUGAAAAGCUCUAACAGCAAAACAGCUGUUGCUGCAGGUAGAGAUGAAAAAGAAGUUUCUGCUUCUUUUUUGCUCCUGGAAGAUUCCCUGGCUAACAUGUUGAAAUGCAUCAUGUCCAGUUGUCACCCAUCCGGACACGUACAACAACUUUAACCACUUCACCGCUGCUUAGUGUGCCAGGGGCCGCCGGGAGGCCGACAUGGAGGGGAGUUCGCCCACGGAGAAGCGAAGAGCCGGGAAGGGCGCGAAGCACAGCGGCAGGAACGCCGGCAGGAGCCAUCGCCCUGCGGAGAGCACCGGGACCAGCCGCAGCCAGCCUGCCCGAGCGGCUCUGGAGCCUGCAGGGCUGCCAGGGGAACCGGGCGGGGCCGCUUGCUCUAUUCUGGAGGGCAAGGUGAAGGCGCUGAAGGAGCAGCGGCUGAGCAUGAAGCAGGGAGGGGCGGUGUCCCAGGAACGAGCCCCCGUGAAGAAGCCCAAGGCCAGGAAAGGGAGGCUCGUGCCCGGUCUGGCUGUGGCGGAGGGGGUGCCCCAGGACACGGUGGUGGAGCCGAGGGCCCAGAUCCGCACCUACCUAACGGACGUGCUGCUAGACAGCCGUGAUGAUGGGGACUGUGGGCAGGGUGCUGGGGGGGCCGUGGCUGCAGACCUUUACACCAACCAUGUGGAAGCUCUGGAGGCGCAUGGGGCAGCGGGAGGAGGCAGCCCCUUGGGCCACGGCUCAGCUGGGGAGCUCUGGAGGCUCCCAAGCCCUGGAAGGCACGGACUGGAGAACACUGACGGCCGCUCAGAAAACAGGGUCCAAAGGGGCUACCCAUGUGGGCUUCAGGGCCCCCGAUCCACUAGGAAUCCCGCCACCAGCAGCCAGAAAUCUGCCCCUGAAGCACGUGGCACACCGGCCUCCUCGGGAGAAGAGCUGUGCCAGGCUGGGGACUUGGAGAGCACCCCCCAGGAUGGGCUGUACGGGGGGCCCGCCCCACCCGGGCGGCUGUGGAGGGCGGAGGGCGG